GACGUAGGGCGCGAGCGUUGUCCGGAUUUAUUGGGCGUAAAGAGCUCGUAGGCGGCUUGUCGCGUCGUUCGUGAAAACCCACGGCUCAACUGUGGGCUUGCGGUCGAUACGGGCAGGCUGGAGUUCGGUAGGGGAGACUGGAAUUCCUGGUGUAGCGGUGAAAUGCGCAGAUAUCAGGAGGAACACCGGUGGCGAAGGCGGGUCUCUGGGCAGUAACUGACGCUGAGGAGCGAAAGCGUGGGGAGCGAACAGG
rnacentral:rRNA from 1 species